rnacentral:lncRNA from 1 species
UGAUGCCUUGCAUGCUUUAAAGGACAGACGUCAUGAAUGCCAAGACUUUUGUGGCGGUCCAUCCUGCCAGUGUCUUCUCCCACUUUUGCUCUGUGGAUUUGAGCUCACAGUUUGUGCUGUGCCCACCACCUGCCCACCCUAACGAGACUCCUGGAGACUUGGCUGGCCAGUCACCAGAGGAAGAGGGGCCCAGCAGCAUGCCAGCAUUCACCCACCUGUGGGUAUCAGUCAGGCUCCUGGUGGAAGCCAGAGGACAUAUUCGAAUGGGUAUUUGAGGAAAGGGGCUGUUCACAGAAGUGUGGACAGAGUUAAGAGAACCAGUAAGAGAUGAGGAAUGUCCUGGACCAGCAAGAGUGGGAGCUGUUAUCUCCCUGGGUCUAGGAAAGGUGUCCACAGAUCCCAAAGAGAGCUGUGGCUGUAGAGGAGGAUCAUCAGGAGCUGCAGCCAUCAGUAGAAAGAUGUGGCCACUGCCAAACCAGCAAGGAAGAAUCUGAGCAAAUAACCACCUCUCCUCUCUCUCUCCCACCUCCUAUGACAUCCUCCACUGUUUGAAUUCCACUAGGGCCAGACAGUGAGGCACCCUGGUGAUGCAGUCCAAGAGGGAGUGGGCAGAGAGGAGCCAGUGGGUAUGGAGGGGAAACAGAGAAACAGAAUUCCAGCUCACUCUGUGGGAUUUCUGGGUCUGAUAGAAACAUGGCAUUAUUAUUAUUAUUAUUAUUAUUAUUAUUAUUAUUAUUUUGAGAUGGAGUUUUGCUCUUGUUACCCAGGCUGAAGUGCAGUAGCAUGAUCUCGGCUCACUGCAACUUCUGCCUCCCGCGUUCAAGAGAUCCUCCUGCCUCAGCCUCCCAAGUAGCUGGGAUUACCGGCACAUGCCACCACGCCUUGCUAAAUUUUGUAUUUUUGGUAGAGGUGAGGUUUCACCAUGUUGACCAGGCUGGUCUUGAACUCCUCACCUCAGGUGAUCCGCCUGCCUCGGCCUCCCAAAGGGCUGGGAUUACAGGCAUGAGCCACUGUGCCCAGCCUGCAGCAGCUAAAUUUUACAGUGUCUCUUUUCUCCUUCUGGAAACUAUAUGGAACAACAACAAGACUGAGGAGGAGGAGAAGGAGGAGGAGGAGGAAAAAGCCCAUCAUCAACACACACAUCAAACUCAACUUCAGAGAAAUUAGGAAGCUGGGAAGCCAUGUAAACCAAAAGCAGGAGACACCAGCAGAACCAACGCAGGAAGCCAGGGAAGUGCAGAAGAACAGGGCAGGGGGCAACCCAGGGGGGAAUCUUCACUGUUGCCAGCAACACACACUCCCAGCAGGAGAGGACCCUCAGAGUGAGAACGCAGAGCUGGAGAAGUGAAGAAGGAGCAGGUGGUGCCCGGGGAAGUCCAGGGGUGUGGGAUCUGAGAGCACCCCUUCCCAAGAGAGGAAGGAACACUUGGGAAGGCAGGGCUGAGUCCCUGGAGGCUGUAUCCGGGAAAGGAGGAUGGCAGUAGAAUCUUCCUGAAGCCGAGUGGGUUCUGAGAGGCAGAGGGGCAGUGGUACAGAGGUGAGGCUGACACUUCUGUGCAGGAAGGGCAGGCUCCUGAGGAAGGGAGCCCCGAAUGCUCUCCACUAGAUUCCCAGGGAGCCCCACUCCCUCCACAGGGACCUCGCGCUGACAUCUGGGAAAUGCCAUUCAUACUGGAACCUCCGACACACUGCCAUGAAUGUGAGGGUUUCGUGACUGAUGGGGAGACUGCAGUCAAAUAAAACAGAUACUACACGCACUCGUCGGGGCAGCCGUACUGCAGAAGCACGUUGAUGCACUCCUGGCUGGAGGCCUGCCGGGCGUAGGUCAGCGCUGUGUUCCCGUGGGCAUCUCGGGCCAUGACGUCCACCCCGUACCAGAUCAGGAGCUGUGCCAGGACCACAUUCCCCUUGCGGCAGGCCAGAUGGAGCGCCGUGCAGCCGUCUCCCUCCCCACAGGUCUCGUUCACCUCCUCACGGGAGCCAUGUGCCAGCAGCAGGAUGGCUGUCUGCAGGUCCUCAUCAGCGGUGGCCCGCAGCAGGUGCUGGCCCAGGGACAGCUCAGUGCAGGGUAGUGGGGCCAGAAAGAGCUUCUCCUCAUAUUUGGAACGGAUCCACCGUUCCUUCUCUUCCCUCGUGGACUUUACUGAGGGUUUUGUCUGCCCCUGGCUGCUCCCUUCCCAGAUGCUGUUGGCUAGGUCAUUGCCAAUAGAUGACAUAACCUUCCUGAGCUCAACUGGCCAGUCAUCCAGCUCCAGAGAUCGCACACGGGAAAGGCGGGUGCCAAGACUGCGGUGGAUUCCUGAGCAUUCAAUACACAUGAGGACUCCCAAGUUCAAACUGGCCCACUUAGGAUUCUGGGUCUCAUAGUCCACACAGUGGGCGUUCCCACGCAUGUUUUGGAUCGACUGCAGGGCCAUGGCCUCGCUCUGGCUGGUCAGCUGGGACUUGCUUUUACUGCUCUCGCAUGACUGCAGGCUGGCCAGGAUCUGGCUCUGGAUGGCUUGGACCCAGGCAUCCCGCUCCUCAUACGUCGUGGCUUCAAAGUGCCAUGUUUGGCCAGUGGCAGACACA